CGACCUCUCGCGGGAGAGAUCGCCGGACCUCCGUUCGAGGACCGGUGGCGCCGAAGGAGCAACCGCCCCCGGAAACUCUCAGGCAACGAGGACCGCAGAGGGAAG
rnacentral:ncRNA from 2 species